rnacentral:rRNA from 1 species
GAUGAACGCUGGCGGCGUGCUUAACACAUGCAAGUCGAACGGUCACGGUUUAGGCUGUGAUAGUGGCGGACGGGUGCGUAACACGUGGGUAACCUACCCUUGAGUGGGGAAUAAUCCUACGAAAGUGGGACUAAUACCGCAUAAAUCGGGGGAACCUGAUGAAAGCCUUCGGGUGCUUGGGGAUGGGCCUGCGGCGGAUUAGGUAGUUGGUGGGGUAAAGGCCUACCAAGCCGAUGAUCCGUAGGGGGCGUGAGAGCGUGGCCCCCCACACUGGCACUGAGAUACGGGCCAGACUCCUACGGGAGGCAGCAGUGAGGAAUAUUGCACAAUGGGCGGAAGCCUGAUGCAGCAACGCCGCGUGGGGGAAGAAGGCCUUCGGGUUGUAAACCUCUUUUCUGGGGGACGAGGAAGGACGGUACCUCAGGAAUAAGUCUCGGCUAACUACGUGCCAGCAGCCGCGGUAAAACGUAGGAGGCGAGCGUUAUCCGGAUUUACUGGGCGUAAAGGGCUCGCAGGCGGCUUAGUAAGUUAGACGUGAAAGCUCCUGGCUUAACUGGGAGAGGUCGUUUGAAACUGCUAGGCUUGAGGAUGGGAGAGGGG